CUCUUUCGUCUGCCCAAGGAGGCUGUGAAGUGCCAUCGUAGAGGCCUGGGUGACACCACAGCUCCGGGGACGGCUGGGAGGGGAGGAAGCACUGGCGGGCGAGCUGGCGUGGAGACUUGCCCUGGUGUAUGGUCAGCAUUUUGGAGCUUGAAUUGAUCCUCAGUGGAGUGUUUUCCUCGUUUUUUGUCUGUUGUAGCCUGUGCAGUGUACAGCUAACUGUCUGCUGCCAUGCUGCCUGUGAAAGAUGUAUUUUUGGAAGGGAGGCUGGGCUAAGGGGACAACUGAUGGGAGGGAGAAAACACUUGGCCUGUGCUGGGCUGAGGAUCUUGGAGAUGGGUGCAUUGGCCAAAGCUGGAGUUUGUCUUUAUGUAACUUCUAAGUGGAGAGAAGCAGGACUGAGAUGGUUUACAGCUCCCAGUCUGAGGCAAGAACCAGUGUGUGAAAACACUGGAUUCUCUGCGGCGGUAACGGCCACCUUCCCCUGUGCUCAAACACAUAGGAAGUGUGGUUGGCCCGAACUCUUGUGGGUACCGAUGGCAGGAUGUGCCCCGUGA
rnacentral:lncRNA from 1 species